GCAGUGACCGUGUCAGUCCUGCUGUAGUGAUGAGAAACUCUCACAGAUAAGGGCUGAACAAGCAACUUCGUGUGGGAGGCUAAAUGGAGUGAUCCCACUCUAGUCGCUCACCACAAUAGAAGGGGAGAGGGCUGCCAUGCAGGAGUCAUGGUCCUGAGGUGUGUCAGCAAUGGACAUUGUCUUGAGGUUUUCUGUUGAGCUGUUCUAUGGAGCCAGUCAUUUGUUUCACUCGGCUUCAUGGUGCAGUAAUUCAGGCAUAGCGGUGGACGCUCCACACGAUGGUGUUAUUCAAUUGUGAAGACUAACACUGACUUAGGAACAGCACAGAGGGGUGAGUGAAUCCACCAGAGACACUAGCAGAUGGACCCCAUGAUCACACAGUGAUAUCGCAGCCACAGCAGCCCCACCCCAAGAAGGGCUAUGAAAUUUCACAGGAGGGCUGAAGAAGAAAAAAAACGGAAAACGUGGGGGGCGAGUACCAGACAGUAUGGAAAUGACACGCUGUGCACCCCCACCUCCCCACUCCCUCCCCCCUCCAGGCCGACCUCUGAACCAACAACCCCAUGGUUUAUUAGCCUCAGCUGGGCUCAGAACCACUUCAAAGGCAACAUGUGGAGCUGCUUUGGUUCCGACCGGGAUAUUGGGCCCAGAUGGGCAAAAGACGUUCUGAUGGGUAUCCCGCACAGAUUAGUUACUUUCAGUAGGCUAUUUGAGAAUAUAACACUGUGUGUGUGUGUGUGUGUGUGUGUGUGUGUGUGUGUGUGUGUGUGUGUGUGUGUGUGUGUGUGUGUGUGUGUGUGUGUGUGUGUGUGUGUGUGUGUGUGUGUGUAUGCGUGUGUGUAUGUAUGCGUGUGUGUGUGUGUGUGUGUGUGUGUGUGUGUGUGUGUGUGUGUGUGUGUGUGACAUGGUUGCAUGCAUGCUUGUGUAUGUGAUGAGAAGGAGGGGGUGGUGGUUGCUCUGUCUGUGUUUCCUUACACAUGUAGCUGUGGAACUCAUGCAAAUCAGGUGUCCAACACCUGAGUGACUCAUAUAACUCUCUCCGAUUAGAAAUGCUUAACACCACCCAACAACACACAGGCCAUACUGCAACCCUGUUCUGUGGGAGGUUCAUAUGUUUGUAGACUUUGCAUGUCUGCAUUUGUGUGUGUAUAAUUUGAAUGUGGUGAGUGUGGAUGGUGUGUGUUUAUAUGUGUGAAAUCUCCUCAGCUGAUUUUCUAAUCCAGUAGACAGGCUUAGACACUGAGACUCUCAGCCCUAUGAGUAACCACUAGUACAAUUAAACAAAACUAAAACACACACUGAGAAAUGGGAUAAACUAAGAAGCAACAUCAGGAAAAACACAUGCUUUUCAAUUGCUUAUGCCUGCUUUACUGACCUACCCCCCCUCUUUCUUUCUUUCUUUCUUUCUUUCUUUCUUUCUUUCUUUCUUUCUUUCUUUCUUUCUUUCUUUCUUUCUUUCUUUCUUUCUUUCUUUCUUUCUUUCUUUCUUUCUUUCUUUCUUUCUUUCUUUCUUUCUUUCUUUCUUUCUUUCUUUCUUUCUUUCUUUCUUUCUUUCUUUCUUUCUUUCUUUCUUUCUUUCUUUCUUUCUUUCUUUCUUUCUUUCUUUCUUUCUUUCUUGCUCUCUCUCUCUAAGCUGGUCUAAAUCCCUCUGUUUCUCCCACUCUAUUCAUGUCACCUUAACUCAACGACUCAGCUUGUUUAUUGUUGCAUGUGGCUAAAUUCAAAUUGAUUAGUUUCAGACAAGGUUAUUAUAGUUUUGUGUUUUUCUAUUUUUAUUUAAAAAAUCAGUUUUGUUUGUUCAGUUUUUUUAUUUUGUUUUCUGACUGAAUUUACUAGUUUUUAUUCAGUUUUAGUUUGAUAAAACAUUUCUAUUUCGUUUUUAUAUUAUUAAGUUUCAGUUUUAGUUUAAGUGUUAGGAACAGAAAGUAGCCUAUGCGUGGAAGGCUAGUAGCCAUGUGUGUGUUGUAGGUUGUUUUUCUUUCCUGUUAGCUAGUGAUAGCUAGUCGUCGUGGAAAUCCCAGACCUAGAGCAACAGCACCAGGUCUGGGGAGGAUGUCAGAUACUCUUGGACAUUUCGGAGGGAAACAAUUCCUGGGAGGGUCCUCUUCAGACAGAUAAGUCUCCAGACUCUCCGGCCAAUACUGAAAAAUUGAACUCUUUCCGUAGUCUGUAGGCAGACAUUUCAGAACGUUGCGAUUUGAAACCAAAGUUUGGAGGCAAAACCUUUGCCACGGUUUUAGUAGUAGAUGGUGCAAACUACCGGAAUUCACUCAUUACAAAUAACCUCUGCAUUCUCCAUCUCGCUAGCUAGCUACUACUUUGUGUCCGGAAGGGAUGCUUAUGCUAGGGCAGCAAGCGGAUAAGGGGGUGAUGUCACCGGAAAAGGCAGUGACUGUCUUCCCUGUUCUGACUCCUUUCUGCCUUGACUGACGCAGGUACUUUUACAGACGUACAGUGGGGCAAAAAAGUAUUUAGUCAGCCAGACUGGCUAGGCCACUCCAGGACCUUGAAAUGCUUCUUACGAAGCCACUCCUUCGUUGCCCAGGCGGUGUGUUUGGGAUCAUUGUCAGGCUGAAAGACCCAGCCACGUUUCAUCUUCAAUGCCCUUGCUGAUGGAAGGAGGUUUUCACUCAAAAUCUCACGAUACAUGGCCCCAUUCAUUCUUUACUUUACUUUACACGGAUCAGUCGUCCUGGUCCCUUUGCAGAAAAACAGCCCCAAAACAUGAUGUUUCCUCCCCCAUGCUUCACAGUAGGUAUGGUGUUCUUUGGAUGCAACUCAGCAUUCUUUGUCCUCCGAACAUGACAAGUUGAGUUUUUACCAAAAAGUUAUAUUUUGGUUUCAUCUGACCUUAUGACAUUCUCCCAAUCUUCUUCUGGAUCAUCCAAAUGCUCUCUAGCAAACUUCAGACGGGCCUGGACAUGUACUGGUUUCAGCAGGGGGACACACCUGGCACUGCAGGAGUUGAGUCCCUGGCGGCGUAGUGUGUUACUGGUGGUAGGCUUUGUUACUUUGGUCCCAGCUCUCUGCAGGUCAUUCACUAGGUCCCCCCGUGUGGUUCUUGAAUUUUUGCUCACCAUUCUUGUGAUCAUUUUGACCCCACGGGGUGAGAUCUUGUGUGGAGCCCCAGAUCGAGGGAGAUUAUCAGUGGUCUUGUAUGUCUUCCAUUUCCUAAUAAUUGCUCCCACAGUUGAUUUCUUCAAACCAAGCUGCUUACCCAUUGCAGAUUCUUCCCAGCCUGGUGCAGGUCUACAAUUUUCUUUCUGGUGUCCUUUGACAGCUCUUUGGUCUUGGCCAUAUUGGAGUUUGGAGUGUGACUGUUUGAGGUUGUGGACAGGUGUCUUUUAUACUGAUAACAAGUUCAAACAGGUUCCAUUAAUACAGGUAACGAGUGGAGGACAGAGGAGCCUCUUAAAGAAGAAGUUACAGGUCUGUGAGAGCCAGAAAUCUUGCUUGUUUGUAGGUGACCAAAUACUUAUUUUCCACCAUAAUUUGCAAAUAAAUUCAUUGAAAAAUCCUACAA